GUGCUCUUUUCGGCAGCACAUAUCCUAAAAUUGGAACGAUAGAGAGCAGGUGGCCCCCGGGCAAAGAUGACACGCAGAUUUGUGAGGCGUUCCAUAUUUCC
rnacentral:snRNA from 1 species